AUUGAACGCUGGCGGCAGGCCUAACACAUGCAAGUCGAGCGGAUGAAGGGUGCUUGCUCCUUGAUUCAGCUGCCGACGGGCGAGUAAUUCCUAGGAAUCUGCCUGGUAGUUGGUUAUAACGUCCGGAAACGGGCGCUAAUACCCCAUACGUCCUUAGGGAGAAAGUGGGAGAGCUUCGGAUCUCCCGCUAUCAGAUGAGCCUAGGUCGGAUUAGCUAGUUGGUGGGGUAAAGGCCUACCAAGGCGACGAUCCGUAACUGGUCUGAGAGGAUGAUCAGUCACACUGGAACUGAGACACGGUCCAGACUCCUACGGGAGGCAGCAGUGGGGAAUAUUGGACAAUGGGCGAAAGCCUGAUCCAGCCAUGCCGCGUGUGUGAAGAAGGUCUUCGGAUUGUAAAGCACUUUAAGUUGGGAGGAAGGGCAGUAAGUUAAUACCUCGCUGUUUUGACGGUACCAAAAGAAUAAGCACCGGCUAACUUCGUG
rnacentral:rRNA from 1 species